CAUCUUCAGGGCCCCUCAACUGCACAGCCCUGAGUGUUCUGUGAAAUUUCCGAGUGAAGAGGCUGUGGAGGAGAAAGCAGCCUUCCGCCCCAACACCUGGAGCACUGCUGUCCUUCAGUUUCCCUCAAUAGCCCCUGGAACAGAUGACCAGGGAAAAGCAUGUGAUUUCAGCCAGGACACGGAGGAGAGAGGCUACUCCUGAUGGCCAGGGCCCCAGGCUAUCUUGAACUAUCAAGGACUAAAGAUAAUCCCCCUUGGACUCCUGCCUGUAAAGAAAUCUCCACCAGGACCUCUUGAAAGACUCAUGGCACAUGUUUAAAUUAAAUAAGAAUCUGAAAGAGGACGGAUAUGUAUAUACGGAUGACUGAGUCACUUUGUUGGACAGCAGAAAUUAUCACGACCUUGUAAAUCAACUCCAAUAAAACUUAAAAAAGUUAAAUGUAGCUUGUAUGG
rnacentral:lncRNA from 1 species